rnacentral:rRNA from 1 species
AACGAACGCUGGCGGCAGGCCUAACACAUGCAAGUCGAGCGAGGACUUCGGUUCUAGCGGCGGACGGGUGAGUAACGCGUGGGAAUGUGCCCUUCUCUACGGAAUAGCCCUGGGAAACUGGGAGUAAUACCGUAUACGCCCUAUUGGGGAAAGAUUUAUCGGAGAAGGAUAAGCCCGCGUUGGAUUAGGUAGUUGGUGGGGUAAUGGCCUACCAAGCCGACGAUCCAUAGCUGGUUUGAGAGGAUGAUCAGCCACACUGGGACUGAGACACGGCCCAGACUCCUACGGGAGGCAGCAGUGGGGAAUCUUAGACAAUGGGGGCAACCCUGAUCUAGCCAUGCCGCGUGAGUGAUGAAGGCCUUAGGGUUGUAAAGCUCUUUCAGCUGGGAAGAUAAUGACGGUACCAGCAGAAGAAGCCCCGGCUAACUCCGUG